GGAUAUGAGGACGAUCUGGCUGUGACAUCUGUCACCCCACUGAUCACCAGUGUUGAUUUGGCUGAUCUGGCUGGCUAGGUAGGUGUCCCCCUCCUCGCUCACCAAUCCAUGUGCAUCCCUCCCGAAGCUGAUCGUACUGCCGAAGCUGAUCGUACUUGGUUGAAGAAGACAACCUUCCCCAAAUAAAAAUGAACUUUCUUCAGUUGAGGACAUAUAAUAGCUGCACUCCCCAGAUGGAACCUCCAAGCAAGCCCUCAAAAAUGUCUUCCUCUGUGAACUUUCAGUUUGGAUGAUUCACAAGAGAGAGAAAAGUCUUCAGUUCUC
ensembl:misc_RNA 7SK 7SK RNA